rnacentral:rRNA from 1 species
AUACGUAGGGUGCGAGCGUUGUCCGGAAUUACUGGGCGUAAAGAGCUCGUAGGUGGUUUGUCGCGUCGUCUGUGAAAUUCCGGGGCUUAACUCCGGGCGUGCAGGCGAUACGGGCAUAACUUGAGUACUGUAGGGGAGACUGGAAUUCCUGGUGUAGCGGUGAAAUGCGCAGAUAUCAGGAGGAACACCGGUGGCGAAGGGGGGUCUAUGGGCAGUAAAUGACGCUGAGGAGCGAAAGCAUGGGUAGCGAACAGGAUUAGAUACCCUGGUAGUCCAUGCCGUAAACGGUGGGCGCUAGGUGUAGGGGUCUUCCACGACUUCUGUGCCGUAGCUAACGCAUUAAGCGCCCCGCCUGGGGAGUACGGCCGCAAGGCUAAAACUCAAAUGAAUUGACGGGG